rnacentral:pre_miRNA from 1 species
CGUGCACCGGUGGUGUCCCUCGGCCUGGCCUGCACCCUCUCACAAUCCAGGACCCCUAGGGGAAGUCAGCUGGUUUCAGCCUGAUCCCGCAGGCCAGGCCGAGGGACACCACCGGUGCACA